ACUUAAAUAGCUUAAAUUUUAAAGUUUAACUCUGAAGAAGUUAUGAUAGGUUUUUACCUUUUAAGUA
rnacentral:tRNA from 1 species